GAUGAACGCUGGCGGCGUGCCUAACACAUGCAAGUCGAACGGAAAGACGAUGAGCUCGCUCUACUGACGUUGGCGACGGGCGGGUGAGUAACGCGUGGAUAGCCUACCUCUUAGACUGGGAUAACUUCGGGAGACCGGAGUUACUAACGGGUGAUAUAUUGAACGGGAUGGUUCAAUAGUUAUUUAGGGGUUUGCUGUCACCUAUAGCUGGAUCCGUGUUGGAUUAGUUAGUUGGUAGGGUAACGGCUUACCAAGGCAACGAUGCGUGGCCGAACUGAGAGGGUGUUCAGCGACACUGGAACUGAGACACGGUCCAGACUCCUACGGGAGGCAGCAGUUGAGAAUCUUGGGCAAUGGGCGAAAGCCUGACGGAGCAACGCCGCGUGGGUGAAGAAGGUCUUCGGGUCGUAAAACUCUGUUGUUGGGGAAGAACACAUGCGUAAGUAACUAUGCAUGUUUUGACGGUACCUAAACAAAAAGCCCCGGCUAACUACGUG
rnacentral:rRNA from 1 species